AUUGAACGCUGGCGGCAGGCCUAACACAUGCAAGUCGAGCGAGCGGCGGACGGGUGAGUAAUGUCUGGGAAACUGCCUGAUGGAGGGCGAUAACUACUUGAAACGGUAGCUAAUACCGCAUACCAUCAGAUGUGCCCAGAUGGUAUUAGAUGGUAGGUGGUGUAACGGCUCACCUAGGCGACGAUCCAUAGCCGGUCUGAGAGGAUGACCGGCCACAUGGGAACUGAGACACGGUCCAGACUCCUACGGGAGGCAGCAGUGGGGAAUAUUGCACAAUGGGCGAAAGCCUGAUGCAGCAACGCCGCGUGUGUGAAGAAGGCCUUCGGGUUGUAAAGCACUUUCAGCGGGGAGGCGUUACCCGCAGAAGAAGCACCGGCUAACUCCGUGCCAGCAGCCGCGGUAAUUC
rnacentral:rRNA from 1 species